CAGUAACUGGCAUUUGGUUAUGGGGUGGCUGUUUUUCUACGUGGACCAAGCAGGGUCCCAGUUCAAGUUUCUGCUGCCUAUCUGAUAAUCUUGAGUUUCUACAGGAAUUAGGAGUGUGACUUCAGGAAUGGCUUAUUCCAAGUUGUAAAACUAUCCCCUGUCGUGAAGUAUUCAGUCCAGGUUUAAGUCCUUCAGCAUCUGACAUUCUCCUGGCAACUGUAAUUGAAUCAAUGAUGACUCAUCUGAGAUGAGCAAGUUGGUCCAGUCAGACCAAACAAAAGACAUUCUAUAAUCAGGGGAGAAGUCUUCUCUAUAUCUCUCUUAUAUGAGCAAAUUUAAUGACCUCCACCAUCUCUAAGAACAAGCAGCUAUUUCUGUAGAGAAAGAUCAUCUUUGGAUAACAAUACAUGAUUUUAGGCUCUAAAAGUUAAAACGUGUUUGUAACGUUGAUAUUAUGCAGAGGUCUUGACAGAACUUGGCAGUCUCUGAGGCUACAGAGAAGUGUGAAAAAGAGCAUAGAGAUUUCAGAAGGAGGCAGAUUCAGUCAGACGUACUGAAUCCCGUUUGAUCUCAACUCAGGCACACUCCAGAUGG
rnacentral:lncRNA from 10 species